rnacentral:lncRNA from 1 species
CACCCUAUAAUCAUGCCACUUGAGAUAACUGUUCUAAAAAAAAAGUUUAAAAUAAAUUAAUAAUAUGUUAUCAUCAAUUAGAAAAGAUCAAAGUAGUUUGGUAUCAAUUUACUCAAUAAAACAAAAGAGAGAAAUUGGCCCUAAAUAUUUCCCCAUCUACUUUUGACAGAUUUAAAUUAUUCAAUUCAGUUACUGCAGAUUUAUGUCUUUCUGUUUGAAGGACAUUUAUCCUACAGAACUUGCCAGAUGGUGCCCUGCAAUGGCUCUAUGAUUAUCCAUCAUCAUUAGAAGAAAAUGCUCCGUAAUCUGUGUGCAUUAACUUUAACUAUUUGGAAGGAACAUGUGUACUUUGGAAGAAAGCUACCACAUGGAGAAAGUAUACAGGAAGACCUUUCUAGUGGUAAACAUUAUUGUCUGAACUCGAAUGCCAGAGGCAGAAAUGACACUGGAUUUACACCAGGAUAAGGAUUCCCUCCCUUUGUGCCUCCAUAGGGUACUUUCUGCCUGCCGUCACUUUAGGUCAGGUUGCUGUGGCUGCUCAAUGCCUUAGCGUUGCUCUAUAGGGCUGCUCAAGCCAUAUGGCACCUCUGUACAAAUUACAAAGUGCCCCUUCCUUCCUGUGAAAGGAGGUGGCCUUGCUCCAUCGCUUGGUCAGCAGAAGGGUGGUGAGUUCAUUCUUCACCUGCAUCUUUGUCCAGGUACCCUCGUUCAGCAAUCAAAAACUCUAUGUAAUGAUCCUGGCUCUGCCUUUUUGAGGCUUCCCUUCCUCUGGGGGUGCUGAUGCUGUGGCAUAUUCUAGAUCGAGGUGAUGCGGCCCCACUUCUAGGUGAGCCCUGGUGAUGUGGCCCUCAAUUCAAUACAUAUCUUUUGAACUCUUACUGUCCAAACCUGGUCCCCAUGGAAAGGCUACUUGGACGUGGACAUCGGUCCUGCCUUCUCUUUGGCCACUGCCACCAACUCUGUGUUACACAGGCUAGAACUUUAAACAGUCCUCUAAGUCUCAGCUGGAUUUAUUGGUGGUAGCUUUGUCUACAGGUGCUUGAAAUAUUACUGUUAUGGCCAGGCAUGGUGGCUCACGCCUGUAAUCCCAGCACUUUGGGAGGCCAAGGCGGGUGGAUUGCUUGAGGCCAGGAGUUCAAGAUCACUCUGGCCAACAUGGUGAAACCCCAUCUCUACUAAAAAUACAAAAAUUACCCGGGCAUGGUGGCGCAUGCCUGUAACCCCAAUGUAAUUCUCGUGGCUGAGACAUGAGAGUCACUUGAACCCAGGAGGCAGAGGUUGCAUUGAGUCAUGAUCACGCCACUGCACUCCAGCCUGGGGGACAGAGCGAAACUCUGUCUCAAAAAAGAAAAGGAAAAAAAAAGAAAUAUUACUGUUGUAAGUAUUAACAGCUAUUCAAAUUAACACAGACUUCUAAUAGAGGCGGGAAGAGAUCACUUAGAUCUUCCAAAGCCAUGACCCCACUCAAAACUCUCCCCAUUUCGAAUUUAUUCUUUUUCAUUGGAAGCUAAAGUGCACUCUCCUUCUACAAAAGGAGAUUUUACAAUUUUUACAAAAUUGAUUUUACAAUUCUAUUUUUUUGUGUGUGCCUUGGUUCUUACACUUGCUAGGACUACUAGGUUUCAAGUGUUUCUCUCUUUUAAGGUACUCCUGAAGAGUCUCUCUCUUAUAUCUAUUGCUGUUUAACUCAUAUUUUCUUUGGUCUGGGGAGCCAAGAUCCCAAGAUCCACGAUUCCAGCUGUAGGCAGCUUGGGUUUUUGCUUUACCAUGGUGAUGUUUUUAUAAAAGCCAAAACAGCAAUUACAGUGUCUUAGAAGUGGUGGAUGAAUUUUGCAUGUUAGAAACAGUCAUUGUGCCAUUAUGCAAAUGAAAUGUAAUUUUAUGGAAAUAUGUGAUGCAGAGUGAAGCUGAGUGGCUUAAGUACAAAUCCUUAUGCUUUUGUUUGGUUAAUGCACUUUCAAAAAUAUUGUUAGGUUAGCUGGCACAGCAAGCAUCUGUAGUCCCAGCUACUCAGGAGGCUGACGCGGGAGGAUCACUUGAGCCCAGGGGUUCGAGGCUGCAGUGUGCUACAGUUAGUUGUGCCUGUGAAUAGCCACCGCACUCCAUCCUGGGCAACAUAGCAAAUCCCUGUUUCUGAAAAACACAUUUUAAAAAUUGUUAAGUUGAAAUUCAGGUCAUUAUUGUCCCUUCACAAUAACAGAAAUGACUGACAAUGGCAAAUGUGAUUAAAAGCAUGCACUCUAGAGUUACCUACUAGCUUAAGGUCCUUGGGAAAAGCACCGAAUCUCUCUGCCUUAGUUUCCCCAUCUGUAAAAUGGGGCUAAUAAUAGUAUCACUAUCUUGGGUUUUUGCAAGGAUUCAAUGAGUUAAGAUGUGUGAAGUGCUUAGAAUAGGGCCUGGCAUAUAGUUGGAACUACUAGUUUAAAAGUGUUAGCUAUCACAUGAAAAAUAAUAUGAUUAUCUUCUGGAAGUCAGAUACAAUUUAAGGAUGCAUUUUAUAAUAUGGUAUUACUUCUUCAAUGCUUCAACCAACCUAAUUGUGAUGAAGUCCAACAGCGGCAAAUAUUGAUGUUGUUUUGUUUUACACACUUUUGGUAAUUGAAUUACUGUAGGCAUUUUCCCUCUUGGACAGGAUAUGUUGAUAUCAGAGUCAAGGUAAGUGUAGUAAAUAGAAGCUUAGGUUUUUUUUUGACACCUGAUUGGUGAGUCUGAUUCUGUUAUAAUUUCUUAAUUCCCAUGACAAGAUCCACUGCUCUGUUUUGCUUCUUGAACAGCUUGUCUGGAUUGUACUUUCUCUCUUGCCGCUGUAGCGCAGCCAGCCCUUGCAGUGGGUAUACUUUUGAAAAUCUGGACCUUGAUUUUGCAGCUUGUCUGCACAAUAAACAGCCGACCCAUGCCAAUUUUCUUCCAGGCGGUCUUUGGCAGAGGAAUUAUGACUGGCUGCUCCUCAGUGGGUGGCCAGAAAUUUAGUUAAAAUAUAAGAAAUCCAACUGCAAACUAUUUCAAUCUUUUCUAUUGCAGAAACGGAUGCCGUUAUAACUUUGAAAAAUCCAUCAUGGCCACUUAAUUUCCCUCUUUACAUUACAUUUUAGACGAGUAAUUCUUUUGAAAUCCAAGGUCAUAUGAACCACAGGCAAAAUUCUCGGCAGUGCUGAAGAUUCUCCCUGAAAGGUCUCUAGGCUCGGCUUAGGAACUGUGGGUGAGGAAACAAAGAAUUUCCUUUUGGACUGUUAGUCUGAGCUAGCUCAUCAUUGUCCCUCUUUGUUGGUGCUCUAAAUGUGUCAUGAUGAAAUUGCAAGACGGUUCAAUGCCAAACUGCAUUUAGUAAUCUUCUUAAUCUCUUUUUGAUGCUUUUAUAGUGGCUAGUGGUAUCUGUGGUUAAGGGAUGCCAGACAGUUUUUCUUUUUAAAUAGCCAGUCUAGCAUUUAUCUGUCUAUUCAUCUACCAGUCCAGCUCUUGAAUUGGAAAUGAUUAUAGGUGAUUUAUAAGUAUAUAUAAGAUAUGACAAUGUACUAUGGAUUAAAAACUGAGUGACAGAGGAAGGAAACACAAUGAUAAGAUCAUAAUACUAAGUCAGAAUGAAAGUUAAAAUGCAAGAUCAUGUAGCGUUAUAUCAGCAGUUUCAAAAUUUAGCAACCGCUGUACUCCCCAUGGGGUAUUUGUUAAGAAUGCAAGUUCCUUAACCCCACCCUCGGACCCCUGGCACCUAUAUUGUUAACCCGUGCCCCCAGGUGAUCCUGAUGCAGGUGGUUGUAGGACCACACUUUAGAAGCACUGACCUAUUUCCUUGCUGCAGAUGGGUAAAUUUGGCUCCAGGUUUUCUGGCAGUCAACAUGAAAAAUGAAGGCUAAGUUUUCCUAGUGUGCAGGAGAUAACAUCCUUGGCAUAUGGUAUCAAUGAAGAUGUAACUAUGCUUAUAUCAACUUGAAUAGCUGAAUAGGAUUUUGACUUGUAUAGGAAUUCAGAAAGGAAAUGUCUUCUGUAGUCCUCCCUAACGUGAACUAUGUCAAUGAGUCUGUGGCAGCCAACUAAACGAUAUUAACUAAACUUUUCUUUUGGUCAGGGGAUGCUAAAGCCUCUUAGGGAGAAAGAAAGAGAAGAAAAAGGAGGAGAAAGAUGGGAAAAUACAAAAAAGGCAGAGGAGUGAGAAAUGAAAAAUAACUAUGGCCACACUCUGAACAGUGGUUUGCUACUGUCCACAAAAGUGCUCAUCAUCACUGUAGGGGACCUUUGAAAGAGCUGCCGGAGAAGGUGAGGAAGAAAGCCCUGCCUGGAAAGCAACAGUGAACCACCAGUGUCAGCAACGUGAAGCUUGCUGCAAGGCCUGCAGUCAUGAUGAACCCAGCAGCUUCUAGUUCAUCCCAGUGGCCCUGAGACUAUUUAUCCUGUGACUUCACACGCGCUUGGAAGUUUUGUUGUGAUCUUCGCUGAGUCUGUGCGGAAAUCACAGGCUAGAUUUUAGAUUUUUUACUUUUCAGCAUGUGACUUAAAGUUCUGUUGACUUGGGGAAAGGGCUGAUAAUCUUGUGCUAAAUCACUGAUGGAAUAUAAAUUAAAAUCUCCAUCUCUCAGUCAAUCCAAGUGUCCAUCAAUGGUAGACUGGAUAAAGAAAAUGUGGUACAUACACACCAUGGAAUACUAUGCAGCCAUAAAAAGAAACGAGAUCACGUCCUUUCUAGGAACAUGGAUGGAGCUGGAAACCAUUAUCCUCAGCAAACUAACAAAGGAAGAGAAAACCAAACACCACAUGUUCUCAUUUAUAAGUGGGAGCUGAACAAUGAGAACACGUGGACACAGGGAGGAGAACAACACACACUGGGGCCUGUCACGGGGCGGGGUGAGGGGAGGGAGAGCAUUAGGAAAAACAGCUAAUACAUGCUAGGCUUGAUAUCUAGGCGAUGGGUUGGUAGGUGCAGCAAACCACCAUGGCACACAUUUACCUAUGUAACAAACCUGCACAUCCUGCACAUGUACCCUGAAACUUAGAAAUAAAAAUUUUUCAAAAGGGAAAAA